CACAACAAACAAGUUGAUCAGGUCAUCUCAAAACCACACGCAUGCGUGCACUUGCUUCCUCCUGCAGCUCGUCUGCACGAUGGCGUAAGAAGGAAAAGACAGUACUAACCAUAGAAUUUCCUCCAAAUAAAUAUAUUCCCUUCAUUAAAAUGAGUUGU